rnacentral:lncRNA from 1 species
GCAAUAUGAACAAAUUUAUGGCUGAAUUUGUACAAGGCAAGUAAAUGAAAAUAAUGCAAAGCCUGCCCUCCUAUCAUGGGUGGACAGUGCAGCGCAUCAGUCCCUCACAGCAGCUUGUCCCAAGAGUGGGAUCAUCUUACCUCCCCCAAACUGAAGAGACCAAUCAUUAGGCAGAUAUAAAAAGAGAGAGGAUCGGAGUUCAUUGUAUCUAGAAAAGAACUGCCUAUGAGGUGAGGCUAAACAUAAUAAUGACUCCUUUUCUAAUUCAUCCUCUUCAGUAUGACAACCCUUUCUUAAGCACAGAGCUGAUGAAGACUUUCUCCUCUGCCUUAAUCCUCCAGUGGCUGCCUUUAACCUCAAGACAGAAUGACAAAUACCUGGCGUGUGGACUGUUACUCUCACUUUCUCCUUGGGGUGCUUGUCCACCACAGCUGCCUUCAGUCUGUCUAAGUCACAGCUCUGUGGAUGGCAGGAUUUAUAGUGUUUUCCACCAAGACACCCUCACUUAUCCCAUGCUGAUGGAGAACACGACAAGUUGAUAUUCGCAUGAGCUUCAUUCCACCAAUAUUCAUUGCAAGACCGCUGUGUCUGAACCAAGCUAAAGGCCAGCAAGUCCCGAAAUCAUGGGCGGCCACUGCCCAUUCUCCAAAGCAUGCAGGCUCAUGGGGAUAGAAGGUAUGUACACAGAUUGUUAUAGCCAAUAAUUAAUUUUAAAUUAUACUCUUCAGGUAAUGUUUUCA